AGAGUUUGAUCCUGGCUCAGGAUGAACGCUAGCGGCAGGCCUAAUACAUGCAAGUCGAACGGGUGUAGCAAUACAUCAGUGGCGCACGGGUGCGUAACGCGUAUACAACCUACCUCUUACUGGGGGAUAGCCCAGAGAAAUUUGGAUUAAUACCCCAUAGUACUAUUGGAUCGCAUGGUUUGAUAGUUAAAGUUUUUCGGUAAGAGAUGGGUAUGCGUCUGAUUAGCUAGUUGGCGGUGUAACGGACCACCAAGGCGAUGAUCAGUAGGGGUUCUGAGAGGAAGAUCCCCCACACUGGCACUGAGAUACGGGCCAGACUCCUACGGGAGGCAGCAGUAGGGAAUAUUGGGCAAUGGUCGGAAGACUGACCCAGCCAUGCCGCGUGCAGGAAGAAGGUUCUCAGAACUGUAAACUGCUUUAGAGAGGGAAGAAAAAGCGCUUGCGAGCGAAAUUGACGGUACCUCUAGAAUAAGCACCGGCUAACUCCGUGCCAGCAGCCGCGGUAAUACGGGGGGUGCAAGCGUUGUCCGGAUUUAUUGAGUUUAAAGGGUGCGUANGCGGUCUAUUAAGUCGGUGUUAAAAUACAGCAG
rnacentral:rRNA from 1 species